CUAGCACUUUCACAGGUCCUCCCCCGGGCAGUGGGGCCAGGAUUUGGUAGCUGGUACUGAAAUUGAAAACCCUUGGUUGUAUCCUUGCUCUGGGACGGUGUCAUUGGCAACUGUCACUCAGUGGGACAGAG
ensembl:snoRNA SNORA30 small nucleolar RNA SNORA30/SNORA37 family